rnacentral:rRNA from 1 species
AGAGUUUGAUCCUGGCUCAGGAUGAACGCUAGCUACAGGCUUAACACAUGCAAGUCGAGGGGCAGCAUGGUCUUAGCUUGCUAAGGCCGAUGGCGACCGGCGCACGGGUGAGUAACACGUAUCCAACCUGCCGUCUACUCUUGGACAGCCUUCUGAAAGGAAGAUUAAUACAAGAUGGCAUCAUGAGUCCACAUGUUCACAUGAUUAAAGGUAUUCCGGUAGACGAUGGGGAUGCGUUCCAUUAGAUAGUAGGCGGGGUAACGGCCACCUAGUCUUCGAUGGAUAGGGGUUCUGAGAGGAAGGUCCCCCANAUUGGAACUGAGACACGGUCCAAACGUCCUACGGGAGGCA